GAUGAACGCUAGCGGCAGGCUUAACACAUGCAAGUCGAGGGGCAGCAUGAGACAGAGAUUCGUCGAAGUCUUGAUGGCGACCGGCGCAAGGGUGCGUAACGCGUGAGCAACUUGCCCGUUUCAGGGGGAUAACCGUUGGAAACGACGACUAAUACCCCAUGGCAUCAUAAGGAGGCAUCUCCAUAUGAUUAAAGAAUUUCGGAAACGGAUAGGCUCGCGUGACAUUAGAUAGAUGGCGGGUAACGGCCCACCAUGUCUACGAUGUCUAGGGGUUCUGAGAGGAAGGUCCCCCANACUGGAACUGAGACACGGUCCAGACUCCUACGGGAGGCAGCAGUGAGGAAUAUUGGUCAAUGGUCGAAGGACUGAACCAGCCAUGCCGCGUGAAGGUGACGGCCCUAUGGGUCUUAAACUUCUUUUGCAAGGGAGCAAUAAGGUCUACGUGUAGACCGAUGAGAGUACCUUGCGAAUAAGCAUCGGCUAACUCCG
rnacentral:rRNA from 1 species